rnacentral:lncRNA from 1 species
UUAAAUUAGGAUACCGCCACUCAAAAUGUAGCAACCACAGCUUAAUAAUUUUGAAUUUGUCGCCACCUUCCUUCCGACGUAACCUCCUCCGUACCAGAAACGGGCCACAAUUUUUAUCACAAGUAACCACUUUUUCGCCUUCGAUGUACUUUCUUUGCUUUGUGAUGUUGUGAGUUUAAUAUUGUAUUGAAUGUUAAGCUUUUCAUGGCAUUUUGUUCUUCCUAAAAGAAUAGUUUUUAGAGGUUAAGCUUGGGUUUUAAAUUUGAAAAAU